UACGUAGGGUGCAAGCGUUGUCCGGAAUUACUGGGCGUAAAGAGCUCGUAGGCGGUCUGUCGCGUCGGCUGUGAAAACCCGGAGCUCAACUCCGGGCCUGCAGUCGAUACGGGCAGACUGGAGUUCGGCAGGGGAGACUGGAAUUCCUGGUGUAGCGGUGAAAUGCGCAGAUAUCAGGAGGAACACCGGUGGCGAAGGCGGGUCUCUGGGCCGAUACUGACGCUGAGGAGCGAAAGCGUGGGGAGCGAACAGG
rnacentral:rRNA from 1 species